GAUGAACGCUGGCAGAAUGCUUAACACAUGCAAGUCAACUGUGGCGGACGGGUGAGUAACGCGUAAAGAACUUGCCUCACAGCUAGGGACAACAUUUGGAAACGAAUGCUAAUACCUGAUACUGUGAGAGGGCUUUGCGUCCCAUUAGCUAGUUGGAGAGGUAACGGCUCACCAAGGCGAGGAUGGGUAGCCGGCCUGAGAGGGUGAUCGGCCACAAGGGGACUGGGAAACGGCCCUUACUCAUACGGGAGGAAGCGGUGGAGAAUAUUGGACGAUGGGCCAAAGUCUGAUGCAGCAAUUCUGUGUGCAAGAUGAAGUUUUCGGAAUGUAAAGUGCUUUCAGUUGGGAAGCGGUACCAACAGAAGAAGCGACGGCUAAAUACGUGCCAGCAGCCGCGGUAAUAC
rnacentral:rRNA from 1 species